AGGGCUGCAGUAUAUUGACUGUACAAAGGUAGCAUAAUCCUUAGUCAUUUAAUUGAUGACUUGUAUGAAGGAUUGGAUGAAAUAUAAUCUGUCUCUUAAUUAAUAAUAGAAUUUAAUUUUUUAAUUAAAAAGUUAAAAUGGUUUAAAAAGACGAGAAGACCCUAUAGAGUUUUAUAAAUAAAUUAAUUAAGAUUAUUUAGUAAUAUAAAAUUAAAAUUAAAUUAUUUAUUAUAUUGGGGUGAUAGAAAAAUAUAAUUAACUUUUUUUAUAAAUUAAACAUUUAUAAGUGAUUAAAUGAUCCAGUAUUAUUGAUUAUAAGAAAAAAUUACCUUAGGGAUAACAGCGUAAUUUUUUUUUUUAGUUCACAUAAGAAAAAGAGUUUGCGACCUCGAUGUUGGAUUAAGAUAAAAUUUAAA
rnacentral:rRNA from 1 species